GACGAACGCUGGCGGCGUGCCUAAUACAUGCAAGUUGAGCGCUGAAGGUUGGUACUUGUACCAACUGGAUGAGCAGCGAACGGGUGAGUAACGCGUGGGGAAUCUGCCUUUGAGCGGGGGACAACGUUUGGAAACGAAUGCUAAUACCGCAUAAAAACUUUAAACACAAGUUUUAAGUUUGAAAGAUGCAAUUGCAUCACUCAAAGAGGAUCCCGCGUUGUAUUAGCUAGUUGGUGAGGUAAAGGCUCACCAAGGCGAAGAUACAUAGCCGACCUGAGAGGGAGAACGGCCCAAUUGGGACUGGGACACGGCCCAAACUCCUACGGGAGGCAGCCGUAGGGAAUCUUCGGACAUGGACGAAAGUCUGAACGAGCAACGCCGCGUUAGUGAAGAAGGUUUUCGGAUCGUAAAACUCUGUUGGUAGGGAAGAACGUUGGUGAGAGUGGAAAGCUCAUCAAGUGACGGUAACUACACAGAAAGGGACGGCUAACUACGUG
rnacentral:rRNA from 1 species